UACGAAGGUGGCAAGCGUUACUCGGAAUUACUAGGCGUAAAGGGCAGGUAGGUGGUUUGAUAAGUCUGUUGUGUAAGCUCCCGGCUUAACUGGGAGAGGUCAACAGAUACUGUCAGGCUUGAGUAUAGGAGAGGUUACUGGAAUUCCCGGUGUAGCGGUGAAAUGCGCAGAUAUCAGGAGGAACACCGGUGGCGAAGGCGGGUCUCUGGGCCGUAACUGACGCUGAGGAGCGAAAGCAUGGGGAGCGAACAGG
rnacentral:rRNA from 1 species